UGGGGAAUUUUGGACAAUGGGGGAAACCCUGAUCCAGCCAUCCCGCGUGUGCGAUGAAGGCCUUCGGGUUGUAAAGCACUUUUGGCAGGAAAGAAACGUCAUGGGUUAAUACCCCGUGAAACUGAUGGUACCUGCAGAAUAAGCACCGGCUAACUACGUGCCAGCAGCCGCGGUAAUACGUAGGGUGCAAGCGUUAAUCGGAAUUACUGGCGUAAAGCGUGCGCAGGCGGUUCGGAAAGAAAGAUGUGAAAUCCCAGAGCUCAACUUUGGAACUGCAUUUUUAACUACCGGGCUAGAGUGUGUCAGGGGGAGGUUGAAGUCCGCGUGUAGCAGUGAAAUGCGUAGAUAUGCGGAGGAACGCCGAUGGCGAAGGCAGCCUCCUGGGAUAACACUGACGCUCAUGCACGAAAGCGUGGGGAGCAAACAGG
rnacentral:rRNA from 1 species